CCUAGUCUUAUCGGUGGAUCACUCGGCUCGUGGAUCGAUGAAGAACGCAGCCAACUGCGAUAAUUAGUGUGAACUGCAGAAACCUUGAACACAGAACUUUCGAAUGCACAUUGCGCCAUUGGAGUGACAUCCAUUGGCACGCCUGGUUCAGGGUCGUAAC
rnacentral:rRNA from 1 species